AAGACCUUGCGCUUUUGGAGCGGCCGAUGCCUGAUUAGCUUGUUGGUGAGGUAAAAGCUCACCAAGGCUUCGAUCAGUAGCUGGUCUGAGAGGACGACCAGCCACACUGGGACUGAGACACGGCCCAGACUCCUACGGGAGGCAGCAGUGGGGAAUUUUGGACAAUGGGGGCAACCCUGAUCCAGCCAUGCCGCGUGAGUGAAGAAGGCCUUCGGGUUGUAAAGCUCUUUCAGCCGGAACGAAACGGUUACGGUUAAUACCCGUGAUUACUGACGGUACCGGAAGAAGAAGCACCGGCUAACUACGUGCCAGCAGCCGCGGUAAUACGUAGGGUGCGAGCGUUAAUCGGAAUUACUGGGCGUAAAGCGUGCGCAGGUGGUUUUGUAAGUCAGAUGUGAAAGCCCCGGGCUCAACCUGGGAACU
rnacentral:rRNA from 1 species